UACGGAGGGUGCAAGCGUUAUCCGGAAUCAUUGGGUUUAAAGGGUCCGCAGGCGGUUUAAUAAGUCAGUGGUGAAAGCCUACAGCUCAACUGUAGAACUGCCAUUGAUACUGUUAGACUUAAAUUCGGUCGAAGUGGGCGGAAUGUGACAUGUAGCGGUGAAAUGCUUAGAUAUGUCACAGAACACCGAUAGCGAAGGCAGCUCACUAGGCCUGGAUUGACGCUCAGGGACGAAAGCGUGGGGAGCAAACAGG
rnacentral:rRNA from 1 species